rnacentral:rRNA from 1 species
CCUACGGGGGGCAGCAGUCGAGAAUCUUUCACAAUGGGGGAAACCCUGAUGGUGCGACGCCGCGUGGGGGAAUGAAGUUCUUCGGAUUGUAAACCCCUGUCAUGUGGGAGCAAAUUAGAGAGAGAGUACCACAAGAGGAAGAGACGGCUAACUCUGUGCCAGCAGCCGCGGUAAUACAGAGGUCUCAAGCGUUGUUCGGAAUCACUGGGCGUAAAGGGUGCGUAGGCUGUUUCGUAAGUCGUGUGUGAAAGGCGCGGGCUCAACCCGCGGACGGCACAUGAUACUGCGAGACUAGAGUAAUGGAGGGGGAACCGGAAUUCUCGGUGUAGCAGUGAAAUGCGUAGAUAUCGAGAGGAACACUCGUGGCGAAGGCGGGUUCCUGGACAUUAACUGACGCUGAGGCACGAAGGCCAGGGGAGCGAAAGGGAUUAGAUACCCGGGUAGUC